GACGUAGGAUGCAAGCGUUGUCCGGAAUUAUUGGGCGUAAAGAGUUCGUAGGCGGUUGCCUAAGUCUGAUGUUAAAGGCCUGAGCUCAACUCGGGUAUGGCAUUGGAAACUGGGCGGCUAGAGUGUGGUAGAGGUAUCGGGAAUUCCUGGUGUAGCGGUGAAAUGCGCAGAUAUCAGGAGGAACACCGGUGGCGAAGGCGGGUCUCUGGGCAGUAACUGACGCUGAGGAGCGAAAGCGUGGGGAGCGAACAGG
rnacentral:rRNA from 1 species